rnacentral:rRNA from 1 species
GACGAACGCUGGCGGCGUGCUUAACACAUGCAAGUCGAACGGAAAGGCCCUGCUUUUGGGGGGUGCUCGAGUGGCGAACGGGUGAGUAACACGUGAGUAACCUGCCCUUGACUUUGGGAUAACUUCAGGAAACUGGGGGUAAUACCGGAUAGGAGCUCCUGCUGCAUGGUGGGGGUUGGAAAGUUUCGGCGGUUGGGGAUGGACUCGCGGCUUAUCAGAUUGUUGGUGGGGUAGUGGCUUACCAAGGCUUUGACGGGUAGCCGGCCUGAGAGGGUGACCGGCCACAUUGGGACUGAGAUACGGCCCAGACUCCUACGGGAGGCAGCAGUGGGGAAUAUUGCACAAUGGGAGGAAGCCUGAUGCAGCACAGCCGCGUGCGGGAUGACGGCAUUCGGGUUGUAAACCGCUUUCGCCUGUGACGAAGCGUGAGUGACGGUAAUGGGUAAAGAAGCACCGGCUAACUACGUG